AUUGUAUUGAAUGAAGUGAUUGUAAUGUACUAAACAUUUGAUUUGUUCUUUGUCCCUAACUCUGAUGCAUGAGAGGGGAGAGGAGAAUGAAAGGAGUCUGACGUUGGAGCUCCCAUGAGACAGAUAAGAAGAUAAAUGGCUGUGCUGCAAACAAGAGGGGGCUUGCAGAUGAGAGGCUCACCAGGUCCUGCUCCCAUUUGACAGGCCAGUACAGUUUUGUCUACAAACUCUUCUCCGAUGUGUCUGCUGCUACUUAGUUGUACAUACACACAUUAAUAGUGGGAACACAUUUAGUUGGGUGUUUAUAUUUGUUAGUGCUAGACAAUAAGAGCAGUAGUUUUGUUGGUAAAAAGAAAGGCUUGGCAAUAGAAAUAUUGCAUAACCAGAUUUAUUAACCCAGUCUGUUAAUGUUCACUUUUAAUUCAUAGAUGAUUGAACCAAAAAAAUAGUAAUUUACUUUUUUAUCUUUGGAUUUACUGAGAAAACUGUUCUGCUCACAGCUGUGGUCAAUUUACUCAUGUUGUAUUUUAUUUGUCAUUUCAUUUUAGAGAGGAGAUGAAACCAGACCAGAUGAUAGCAGACCAGACCAGAGAGGAGCUGAGGGGGCAGCCUGCAUCACAAACUAUCUUCAAAAGAAAGGUACGUUUUUUUUUGAAAUUCCACCUUAUUUACUGGUAACUGUUACAUUAUUCUACAAGAAUCUGAAAAUUUUAAUUAACCUUCCCUUUUUUUCUUUCCAAGUUAUUUGUCUGUUAUAGAAAUGAAACAAGCCUAGACCAAACUGGAGAAGACCAGAGUGGACCAGAUGAUAGCAGACCAGACCAGAGAGGAGCUGAGGGGGCAGCCUGCAUCACAAACUAUCUUCAAAAGAAAGGUAAGUUUUUUUUUUAAUUCCACCUUAUUUACUGGUAACUGUUACAUUAUUUUACAAGUAUCUGAAAAUUUUAAUUAACCGUCCCUUUUUUUCUCUCCAAGUUAUUUGUCUGUUAUAGAAAUGAAACAAGCCUAGACCAAACUGGAGAAGACCAGAGUGGACCAGAUGAUAGCAGACCAGACCAGAGGGGAGCUGAGGGGACAGCCUGCAUCGCAAACUAUCUUAAAAAAAAAGGUAAGUAUAUUUUAUUUUAACUGCUCUUAUUGGUAACUGUUUCAUUAUUCUACAAGUGUCUGAAGUUUUUUAUUAAUUUUUUUGUCUCCAAAUUUAUUUGUCUUUUAUGGAAAGGAAACAAGCCUAGACCAGACUGGAGGAGAUCAGACCAGACCAGAUGAUAGCAGACCAGACCAGAUGAUAGCAGACCAGACCAGAGGGGAGCUGAGGGGACAGCCUGCAUCGCAAACCAUCUUUAAAAAAAAGAUUCAUUAACUUUAUUCUAAUAUAUUAUCCUUAUAUAUUUCUGGAUGUAUUUUUAAAUUUAGGAUUCAAAUGUUAGUAUUUACGGUUAAGUAAUGCUUCUACUAUUACAAUUACUUAUACUUUUACUCUGGAAUUUAUUUGUGUGUCAUAUAGUGGAGAAGACAGAAACCAGACUAGACCAGAGACCAAGACUGGAGAACAGAGUGGAGACCAGAUGAGUCCAGACCAGAGAAGAGCUGAGGGGGCAGCCGACAUCGCAAACUGACAAAAAAAAAAGAUAAAUAUAUUUUAUCCUUAAUUUCAUCCCCAAUUGUUUCACUGUAAAAUUGUUUCAGUCGGAGUCUUCAGUGGUGUUAUAACUUUUCUUUUUCCUCUUAUGUGAUUUGUCUUGUACAGAGAAGACAGAAAACCAGUCCAGACCAGAUACCAGCUGAGGGGGCAGCAUACCUUACAAGCCAUCUUUAAAAAAUAACGUAAGUUUUUCCCAUGCCAUAUUUUUUUGUUUGUUUUGAUCAAAAUUACUUCCCUGUAAAUAUUAUUAUUUCAAAAUUGUCUUCACUUGUUAACUUUUUUGUCGCCCACAUUAUUUGUCCUUUACAGAAAGGAAACAAGUCUAGACCAGACUGGAGGUGUAUAGAUGAUGUCUGAAAUCAGCGUGUUCGUUUUUGUGGUCAGUUGGAGUGGAACAUGAAGCUGUGGUGGCCUCACUGUGAAGCUCUCAUCGCCUACCUGAUGACCUAGAGUCACACUAUGAGACCAGAGCUGCUGGAGAGAUUCUCUCAAGUGUAUGAGUACACCUUCAGUCACGUGAGUUAUUACUGAGGGAAACGUACCCGAGGAAAAAUCUCAUGCUACACCUCUGAAGUGUUUAAUGUUAACAAAUGACCGUCACGAUGACUUGUAACUUAUGAAGCCUCACUUAAGAAGCACUGAAAUAUUCCUUUAAUGUUCAUAUUGUAGAAACAUUGGGUAGAAUAGAAAAGAAAAGAAGUUGUAGAGAAGACAAAAGAUGUUAAAAUAGACGAAAAAGAGAUGCCAAAAAUAGAAUAGCAGAGACUAGUAAUGGGAGUGUGCUAAAUAACCGUGCAAGAUUAACGAAGACAGGGCCCAUAUCUUCUUAACGGUAAGACAAUGUAUAAAUUAGUGACUAAUGUGAACGUCUAGCUCAAAAAGGAUAGUCGAAUUCGGGGCGUGGAAAGAAAAAGUGAGGAGUAAAACCCGGAGCCCAGGGUAAUUGGCAAAUAAAUGAUGAAAAGAGAUAAAGAGUAAAAGAGACAAAGUGAAAAAGAGAAAAAGGCUGAGAUGGCCGAAAAAGAGAAAAAGUUAACUUAAUGUUAGGGAAGAUGCGAUUGGGCAUACAAACCGGUGAGGACAGUUUAAAGAAGGAAAAAAGGCCUAUAUACUAUAGUAAGGAAACAUUGAGCUCAGUGAGAAGAGGUGUGCUGAAGUUUGAGUGUGUGAGAGAAGCUUCUGGUGUGUGUGUGAGAGGAGUGUGUGUAUGGGUGCUGAGCUGUGAGUGUGAGUGCAAAAGAGUCUGUGUGCAGUGAGUGGUGUGUACACAAAGUUGGGGAAUGAUCUAGCAUAGGUUUAAGUGAUUAACUUAUGAUAAAGUGAUAAAUGAUGUCUUAUUAAAUAUAUAAUGAUAUGAUAUAAGAAAUUAACAUAUAAGGGAAGAGAUACUGAUGCCUUUGUAGUGCUAAAAAAAACAUAUGAGCCCUGGUUUCUUUGUACAGGGACGUUAAUAGAAUAAGUAACUGCUAUGAGCCUCUCAGGAUAAAGAGGACGUUUGUACACCUAAUAGUAAGAAAUGAGCCCCUUAUUAGAUGAGGAGGACUUUGGAUGGUGAUAACAUCCUUGACUAAUAUUGCAAUUAAAGAAGUGUACACAAGCACAUUUUUGUUCAUACAGAUACAGGAAAAAACAGAGUAAAAGAUUGGAAUGAUUUGCUGACUGAUGGGUGUGGUUUUCCUCUGUGUGUGUGUGUGUGUGUGAAUGUUUAAAGUGAAUGGUCACUUGCUGAUGAUCAUGUUUAGAGGGAAGUCCUAGUUAAAAAUUGGAAAAAUCCAGGGAGCUUUUCCUCCCUCUUUCUUUCUCUUCUUACAGGCCUGAGAACAGAAAGAAAGCUAAAAAAUCUAGUUUAACUAUCCUAGUUGCGUGAAAAUUUUAAAUGAUAUACCAUGAUCAGGGGAUUGGGGUAUAAUAAAUGUAGGUAGUCUUAUGGUAGAAGAAAUCUUUAAAUAGUGGUAGUAAACGUUUUAAAUUGUAUUGAUUGAAGUGAUUGUAAUGUACUAAACAUUUGAUUUGUUCUUUGUCCCUAACUCUGAUGCAUGAGGGGAGAGGAGAAUGAAAGGAGUCUGACGUUGGAGCGCCCAUGAGACAGAUAAGAAGAUAAAUGGCUGUGCUGCAACAAGAGAGGGCUUGCGGAUGAGAGGCUCACCAGGUCCUGCUCCCAUUUGACAGGCCAGUACAGUUUUGUCUACAAACUCUUCUCCUAUGUGUCUGCUGCUACUUAGUUGUACAUACACACAUUAAUAGUGGGAACACAUUUAGUUGGGUGUAUAUAUUUGUUAGUGCUAGACAAUAAGAGCAGUAGUUUUGUUGGUAAAAAGAAAGGCUUGGC